GUAGUUAGCCGGGGCUUCCUCCUUGGCUACCGUCAUUGUGUUCGUCACCAAGGACAGAGGUUUACAAUCCGAGAACCUUCAUCCCUCACGCGGCGUUGCUGGGUCAGGCUUUCGCCCAUUGCCCAAUAUUCCCCACUGCUGCCUCCCGUAGGAGUCUGGACCGUCUCUCAGUUCCAGUGUGGCCGUUCGCCCUCUCAGGCCGGCUACCCAUCGAUGCCUUGGUGGGCCGUUACCUCACCAACUAGCUAAUGGGACGCGAACUCACCCCAAACCGGAUCGCUCCUUUUACCUCAAAGCCAUGCGGCCUCGUGGUCUUAUGCGGUAUUAGCACCUGUUUCCAAGUGUUAUCCCCCUGUCUGGGACAGAUUGUUCACGCGUUACUCACCCGUCCGCCGCUGACCCCGAAGGGCCCGCUCGACUUGCAUGUGUUAAGCCUGCCGCCAGCGUUCGCUCUGAGCCAGAAUCAAACUACUAGA
rnacentral:rRNA from 1 species